UACAGAGGUCUCAAGCGUUGUUCGGAUUCAUUGGGCGUAAAGGGUGCGUAGGCGGCGCGGUAAGUCGGGUGUGAAAUCUCGGGGCUUAACUCCGAAACUGCAUCCGAUACUGCCGUGCUUGAGGACUGGAGAGGAGACUGGAAUUUACGGUGUAGCGGUGAAAUGCGUAGAUAUCGUAAGGAAGACCAGUGGCGAAGGCGGGUCUCUGGGCAGUAACUGACGCUGAGGAGCGAAAGCGUGGGGAGCGAACAGG
rnacentral:rRNA from 1 species